rnacentral:tRNA from 1 species
AGUGGUUAAGCGCUUGGCUGCUAACCAAAAGGUCAGUGGUUCGAACCCACCAGCCACUC